UGGAACUGGCAAUUCUGUGGCUGAGGGAGAUGGAGGUCGGCAGCCAGUGUUGGAGCAGAAGCCACAUCCUCGAGUUGCAGCAGCGCAGUUUGAUGCUGUGGUUGUGCCAGGGCUGCUGGGAGAAGAGCUGGGCUGCCUGAGAACUGAAGUCCUCUCAAGCUGGUGGAAGAGCUACAGCCGCUUGGGGCCACCAUUUUAGACUUCAGCUGGAGCUGCAAGGAGUUAGUGAUCUUGUUUUCCAGUGACCCUAUUUGAAGUAGAAAGAACUGGAUUUUGCCAUCAUUUACACCUCAAGGAGCUGCCACAGGAGGAGGGGCCAGUGUUUGCCAGCUUGCUCUGCUCCCUGCAGCCCUCACUGGGGAGCCGCGCCACAGGAAAUGCUGAGCAGGAAUCAGACAUGAGAGCAUCGUGCUGGGUUGGUUUUGCUCUUGGAAACAGAAGGUGGAGCAAGCCACAGCUGAGACAAGGUACAGGCUGCCAGUGCCUGCUGGGAGCUGCAGCCAGGCAAGGGCAGGAAAGCUUCUUCCCUCAUGCAAAUGCAUUGGAUAGGGGGCUGCUUCUCCACUCUCUGGGAAGAAAGUGAGGCAGGUGUCAGGGUCUGCAGUGAAAGCAGGGUCCAUGCCAAGCAGGACGGAGGACUCUAAGGGGUCACAGCAGAGAGCUGCAUCCAUGGGAGCAUCCUGGAGCAACUGGCCACAUGGUGCUGACAUCCGAGAAGAUUUUUAACGUGAUUUUUCACCAUGCUGUUCGCUGCUGACACCACCUUCCUCACUGCAGGUGCAUCUACUGCUUGUGCGACAUUUUAUGCUGUCUCAUUUGGAUUGUAUCUCAAGGAGGAUUUAGAGGAGCUUGCAAGCUGGAGAUCUGCUGGCUUCCCAAAGGUUGGUUACGUACAGGACAGCUGAAGCCAGAGAGGAACAUCUGUGACCACGAUAGCUUCUUCCUUCUGCCUAGGGACUGGAAAAUCCCUGGGUCUGUCCCACUCACACGGCUGCUGAGGAAGCCAUCUUUUGUGCCUUUGAAUCUUUCACUACCCUGACAUUAUCACUGUACAUUUAACUGGCCAAGACAUAUCCUUGCCUGUGCUGUCUGUUUAGACACAUUCUAGUUUUGAAGGAUUUUUGUUCGCAUACUCUACCUCUCUUUUCGACCAUAUCAGCUAUUUCUGAUCCUCAAUGUUUUGGAUAAGUGAUAUACAUUUCUUCUGACACUUUCAUAUGUUAUUUUUAAGCUGUGUUUAUGCUUCUUGCCAACAUUUUAUCCUUGCGGUUCUUUGAAUUUUGUAUUAAAAACCCUAUGAACAAACUACACAAUUCAGAAGAUCUUUUUAAGUCAGUCACCAUCUUAGGGGAUUUCAGGCUUUUUCAUCCUGCUAAGAUACUGAAUUCAAGUAUAUUUUGGUCACUAUUAGUGAAUAACCCUUUCCUAAUAGCACUUUGAACCUCCAAUGUUGAAUUUGAAUUGGACAUCAGACAUUUGAAUUCAGCAUUUGAAUUUAUGUUGACUGAAUUUGAGUGCAGCCUGAACAUGGCCUGCACCCAGGAUCUGAGGAACUUGGGUGGCUCUAGGCUGCCUGGCUGGAGCUGUGCACUGGUUGGGAACAGCCAGGAGAUGCAUAAGAAAGUAACUGAGACUUAAACAGAGCUUGAAACAAGUUGUGUUCCUGUAUUUAACAACAUCUAAUAUACAUAAAGGGAAAUUAAAAACCGCAAACAAAUAAACCGUACCUAAAGA